rnacentral:lncRNA from 1 species
GGGGCUGCCUUGUCAGGCGCGCCGUCCAGUGCUCGAGCUGUUGUGCUCAGGUCUUCUCCGUGCCGUGCUCACGCGCGACGGUUGCAACCGCCACCGAGAAUCCUGGCUCCAGCUCCGUAACAACCCCGCCUCCGCUCCCAUAUGAAUCAGGGGAUCCACUCGGCCGCACCCAUCGCACCAAACCACCGAACAACCUUGCCUUCGAGAGAAACCAAGAGUGCGGGAGGAGGCGCAUCCACAGAAUCCGGUGCUCGAUGGCGUAGCGCUCCAGCGAAGAGAACUGAGGGAGUAUUGGUCUAGGCUGCGCGUCCGCAAAACAGAACCUAGUAUCGAGGGUGGCUAGAGCAUGGGGAAUCGCUCGCGGGACUUGCUCUCGCCUUUGUGGAAUCCAGCCGCCACGGCCAGGCCCACUCGCUGCACAAUCCCUGGUAAUAAGCUUACCCUCGUACUCAAUAUAUCUUCCGCAUUGUGUAGCUAGUCCAAAUUAGAGAAUGAAAACCGGAGCACGCGGAUUGAAUCAUCGGUCAUGGGCGCCGCCGUGCGGGUGGGAGCGCCGCCGGCCGGAGUCAGGGGAGGGGGAUAGGUAUCACGCGGUCGUUGAACUUGAACCCUUGAUCUACAUCUGUAUUCUGAUCAAAGGAUACCCCUUCGUCGUAGCGCGAUCGUCGACCGUGGAUCUUAGAUUGUGGGGUCUACGUAGGGUAUCGAUUCGGGUCGAGGUCAGAUUAAAUCUGAGCCCUCUAUCUUAGAUCAAACGGCCGAAAUUCAAAGAUACCCCUUCAGCCAAGCAUUUUUACAUAAGAGACCUUAUAUUUUCACAAAAUCAACCUGCCGUCCUAGCACAGUUGAAAACAUUUAAUUUAAGUUCUAUUUUUAACAGUUAGGUCCCUGCACUUUCACAAAAUAAUGGCCGCGGUCCAGAACUAAAUAAAAUAGGAUAAAUUCAUAUAGAAAAUAGUUUUUAGUAUGAAAAUAAUUCCAAAAACUUGUUCAAAUCAUAAUAAAUCCAUUUUAAGUCCUUUUUGAUCCAUUCCAGUUGCAUUAAUUUUAUUUUAAUAUUGUUUAUCACAUGGUAACUCUGUUUUAUCAUAAAACAUAGAUUAACAUUAUCCACUUAGUUAUUUCUAUAUCAACCACUUAAAACCCCGGAAAAUCAUAACUUUUAACCGUAUCUCUAAAUUUAGUGAUUCUCGAACCUACAAUCUCGUUACGAUGCGUAGAAUAUUAUCAUGCAUUCUGUUCUGAUGUUUGGUGUGAUAUUAAUUUCUCAUAUACCAUGUUUGUUUGUAUUGUUGCGAGUAGACGAGCAAGCAACUGCGGACCCAGUACUCAGCAGAUGGAUAAUACUGAGCAGGAGCUCGUUGAAGGCAAGUUGUACCCUUGACCACUUUUCUUUACCCAAUAAUGUUCUAUAUAAUCUCUGUGGCAAUUUUAGGCUUAAUUUUGAUGAGACCCAAUAGGUCACUCUAGUCUGCUUUACUUAUUGCCUUGAUGACCACUGGACUUUUGGGUAGUCUCUGCUAUUGCUCUAUGUGGUUUUGGGUGUUAAGAUAAAUAUGCUUCAUAAUCAUGUUUUAUUAUUGUUAUUAUAUUCUUUAAUGUUCAUGAUAAGAUUAUGGUGUUAAUUGGAACAUAGAGCUUAACUUGAGGAUACCGUACCACCACAAGGGUGGAAUAGGACACCCUUGGCGAAGUAAUUAGGAAAGCUAGGGAGAGAUUACCUUACCUGAAAAUGGCAAGCGGGGAGGCGUCGCUGCAGAGUAUAGGGAGGUUCUCAGGUCGGACUGUCUAUCUAGCUUUCUAGACGAGGGAUUCCUAUGCUUCCUUCUUCCUGAUUCUAUAACGUGUUUUCUCGAACUAGUGGAACUUUAGAAAGGCCUUGUAGUGUUACUCUGCCUCGUCUCCUCGGUAGAGAUGAAUGGGACUUCUAGACCCCUUGGCAACUGGGUAACAUGACUUGUCGGUAAAGGGUACAACCUCUGCAGAGUGUAAAACUGGUAUACUAGUCGUGCUCGCGUUCAUGAGCAGCUCAGGACUCGUGCAGUGGAAUUAAACUCAAUUUGUCAUCUGCAUUACAUUGUGGUUUAUUAUUAAUUUUGAUCGGUAUACACUUACAUUUAGUAACUGCUAAUAAAAUUUGACCAACUUAUUAAAAACAAUGGUCAUCUUUAACCAUUAUUUAUUGAUCAGCCUUACACUACACAUGAACUCCCACCUUUAGUGAUUUCAUGCACAUUAUUCUCCACAACUUGUUGAGCUAUGAUCUUUUGUGAGCUCACCCUUGCAAUAUAUAAACCCCCCAGGUGAAGAGCAGGUAGCCCAGGAGGAGGUCUACAACGAGUACGAGCUAAUCUAGGUGGCGUCUCCUAGUCAGCGUUAUGGCGCCAAGGAAUAAUUAUUAGUUCGCUUUAUUGUUAUCAUUUAUUCAUGUAAGACAUUUUCGCAAUGUAAUAAUUUUUGUGACAUUUAUCUCUAUACAUUUGGUCAUUAUAUGUGUUGUUCUUCUUUGGCGCACAUAUGAGACGCACCCAGCUUUCCCCCUUAAAUUCGGGUGUGACAGAAGUGGUAUCAGAGCAAAUAUUGAUUGAAGGACAAAACCUAGAUAGAACUGCACAAAACCCUUACCUACUUAUCUUUACUCUGAUUCUUUCUUUACUUUUAUUGAUCCUGUCUCACCUUUGGUUGUUCUACUCUGACUACUCUUACCUUUUCUACUCUAGAAAGACAAGAAGGAUUUCAUACCUUGGAAUCUUACAUCUAAGACUCCCUAAAGAGAUAGGAGACCUAAAAAAGAAUUAUUUUCUCUAUCUAAAGUGUUUGGAUGUUUGUUCUGAUGAUAAAUGCUUAAUUUGCUUCUUUGAUUGACUGAUAUAGUAUAGCAGGGC